rnacentral:rRNA from 1 species
AGCUCCAAUAGCGUAUAUUAAAGUUGUUGCAGUUAAAAAGCUCGUAGUUGGAUUUCUGGUGGGAGCGACCGGUCCGACACUCAGUGUGGGUACUUGCGUCGUCUCCGGCCAUCCUUGGGGAGAGCCUGUCUGGCAUUAGGUUGUCGGGCAGGGGAUGCCCAUCGUUUACUGUGAAAAAAUUAGAGUGUUCAAAGCAGGCUUAUGCCGUUGAAUAUAUUAGCAUGGAAUAAUAAGAUAGGACCUUGGUACUAUUUUGUUGGUUUGCGCACCGAGGUAAUGAUUAAUAGGGACAGUUGGGGGUAUUCGUAUUCAAUUGUCAGAGGUGAAAUUCUUGGAUUUCUGGAAGACGAACUACUGCGAAAGCAUUUACCAAGGAUGUUUUCAUUA